UACGUAGGGUGCAAGCGUUAAUCGGAAUUACUGGGCGUAAAGCGUGCGCAGGCGGUUUCGUAAGUCUGUCGUGAAAUCCCCGGGCUUAACCUGGGAAUGGCGAUGGAGACUGCGAGGCUAGAGUUUGGCAGAGGGGGGUAGAAUUCCACGUGUAGCAGUGAAAUGCGUAGAGAUGUGGAGGAACACCGAUGGCGAAGGCAGCCCCCCUGGGCCAACACUGACGCUCAUGCACGAAAGCGUGGGGAGCAAACAGG
rnacentral:rRNA from 1 species